ACAAAGGCUCUUUUAAGAGCCACCCACUGUCGCCUUUAAAAGAGC
rfam:Danio rerio chromosome 25 genomic contig CTG2378, GRCz11 reference primary assembly.